rnacentral:ncRNA from 1 species
AAAAGACUUAGUCCUAACCUUGCCGUUGAUUGUUGCCAAACAUAUACAUGCAAGCAUCCGCGUCCCAGUGUAAAUGCCCUUAAUCACCUUACUAAGAUAAAAGGAGCAGGUAUCAGGCACACAAGUGCAGCCCAAGACACCUUGCCCCGCCACACCCCCACGGGUAUUCAGCAGUAAUUAACAUUAAGCAAUAAGUGUAAGCUUGACUUAGCUAUGGCAAAUCCCAGGGCUGGUUAAUCUUGUGCCAGCCACCGCGGUCAUACAAGAAACCCAAACCAACGGCACACACGGCGUAAAGAGUGGCAUGACAGUAUCGCCCCAGCUAAGACCGAAACGCAACUGAGCUGUCAUAAGCGUAAGGCGUGCAAAAGAACUUUACAAAAAAGUCUUAACUAAUACGACCUAAUUACUGCCACGAAAGCCAAGGCACAAACUGGGAUUAGAUACCCCACUAUGCUUGGCCUUAAAUCCUGACACUUCCUUAACUAAAGUGUCCGCCUGAGAACUACGAGCACAAACGCUUAAAACUCUAAGGACUUGGCGGUGCCCCAAACCCACCUAGAGGAGCCUGUUCUGUAAUCGAUAACCCACGCUACACCCAACCGCUCCUUGCCCCCACAGCCUACAUACCGCCGUCGCCAGCCCACCUGCCCUGAAAGAACAAUAGUGAGCACAACAGCUUCAACCACGCUAAAAAGACAGGUCAAGGUAUAGCCUAUGGAGCGGAAGAAAUGGGCUACAUUUUCUAACAUAGAAAAUUUACGAAAGAGGGUAUGAAAUCUCCCCCAGAAGGCGGAUUUAGCAGUAAAGCUGAACCAUAACGCCACCUUAAAACCGGCCCCGGGGCACGUACAUACCGCCCGUCACCCUCCUCACAAGCUACUUGCGCACGUAACUAACACCAAUUUCUAGCCAAAGAUGAGGUAAGUCGUAACAAGGUAAGUGUACCGGAAGGUGUACUUAGCAUACC